UACGUAGGGCGCAAGCGUUAAUCGGAAUUACUGGGCGUAAAGCGUGCGCAGGCGGUUUUGUAAGUCUGUCGUGAAAUCCCCGGGCUCAACCUGGGAAUUGCGAUGGAGACUGCAAGGCUAGAAUCUGGCAGAGGGGGGUAGAAUUCCACGUGUAGCAGUGAAAUGCGUAGAGAUGUGGAGGAACACCGAUGGCGAAGGCAGCCCCCUGGGUCAAGAUUGACGCUCAUG
rnacentral:rRNA from 1 species